UGAAGUCCCAUAAAUUUAAAGAAUUCUAUCCCCAAAUACAUCUGGUCCCAAAAUGUGUUUCAAUGAAGUCUACGACAGUUAACAACAUGGAAAUUGUUCUACCAAAGAACCAUAACUCUCAAAGACUAGAGAGUGUUAGACUUAAGAUAAUACCUUUAACUUUCCUGAGGCGAUUAAAAAAGGAGGACAAAAAUAACCCUUUUGACAUAACAUGAAACCUGGGUUGACUGUCAGAGACCAAAAGGAAAAGCUGUUUAAAAACAGCAGGGGUCAAGUUUAAAAGUCAGCUUUUGCUCCCUAAGAUAAAGACUCCUUUCCCACCCAAUUUCUGUUUUGACAGGUGAUUGCCAUACAACAAACUCCGCCCUCCCUGACUCACUUCCUUUAACACUAACUUUUUCAUUGAAACAAAUGCUCUUAUCUCUUCACACCCUAAUACCAGAAGGGAUUCUUAAUAGCCAAAGAAUCUAACAUAUUCUUAAAAAUAUUUUUAAGAAAAAAAUAGCAGUGUUCUAAUUUCUGUCAAUUUUACCAAGAAAAUAUGGGAUAAAAUCAAAAACACUAUUUGCUUGCUUCAGGCAAACAUAAAAUUGCUUUCAUUAAGAAUCCAAAAAGCAUUUAUUUUACAGUACUUAAUAAAAGCAUAUUAAAAUCUUCUGCUCUGCCAUCCUAGACCUAUAAAGAAGCCCUCCACGUGACUAAAUCCUGGGCGAAGGUAAUUAACACACCCAGCAACGUAUUUCAUUUCCAAUUUUCCACUUUCAAAUAUUUCGUCAGUAUAUACAUUUCUUAGAUACUUGGCAGCAUUUUAUGUCAAAAGGUUUCCAAAAACUUAAAAAUAAAACACAAGACAGUCAAAUGCCAAAUGCCUUUUCUUAAAAAACCCUCCAGACAUGACUUCAGCAUUUUUAACACUUUGGAUCUACUUUAGCAACUAAAUUUAUUCAAAUACAAGAAUGAAUCUUUGCAAAGGCAUAAAUUUAUACAGUAUCUUUUAAUUUCUACAUUUAGUAAUAUUGAUACUAUUGUCUCCCAAUUGUGUUUGAUAUCAAACUUAAGUGAGAUCAGAGUGGGAAAAAAAAAAUGGCAGUAGGACCAUCGCCAGGCAAAACUUCCAUUCUUCCUCCAUUGCUGGAGUACCAAGAUGCCUCCUGGGCAAAAACAAAAAAAGCAAAGCAAAAACACACACACACAUUUUAAGGCAAGAUAUGUUAACACAGCUUUAAAGAAACCUGUGGCCUGUAAUUUCUUUUGGUUUUGUCAAGGGUAUAAAUCCCUUUGUCAAGACUUCAGAUUUCAGCUGCACUUCAUAGACCUAAGGUAUAUACCAAGUACUCUCUUGAUAUGUAUGAACACGUUAUAUUACUAAGACCACCUUAAGAAAAAUAAAAAAUAAAAAGCUCACACUGCCUCCUACUGUUAAAAGGAAAAACUUAUGAGGUCAAAUAUGGUCCAAACUGCAGGGUGUAAAGGAGAACAAGGAUAUUAUCUUAGCCUGUUUUCUUUUAAAUCUAUUUCCAAAUCAAAACCUCAAAGGGGUUGAGACAGUGUCCACAACCUACUCAAAUGUACUGCAAAAAACAUCACUAGGUAUAACUUAAGAAUUGAAAACCAUCUUUCCCAAACAUGUUUUCGACUUGAUGUGUGAUAUAAACAUGGGGAAAAAAGGAAGAAAAAUUUUAAAGCGCCAUCCUACUUUGCCAGAUGGAUGGUUACUUUCCCAGAUCUAAGGCAAUUUUAAUAGAUGGGUUCUCUUGUUCCCUACCUACAAUGAGGUAAACUGUUCCACAUCAGAUCAGAUUCAAAAUACCUGUUCAUCUUCUAAUCAGAUGGUAAUGGCCAUACCCAGGGCUUCCUCGACCUUGAUGGUUUUCUCCAAAUUUAAAAAGUUGGGAGUAGUGUCAUCCAUCUUGUCACUGAGACACUUCUGUCUUUAAAAUUUCACAAAUAGCUCGGGAGAGUAUCAUGCACCUACCCCAUCCACCUCAGCCAUGAUACUGUAUUAAAUCACUGAAUAUGAAACACAGAAACACAAACAAUAGUUUUGGGUUUCUUUAAAAAUGACAUUUGUAUUAAAAGUCUUAAAAUGAAGAGACAAUGAUUAAACGCAUGAAAUUAAAAAUUACAAUUAGUUAGAAUUGGUACAUCGCAACAGUAAAAUUUUGCUCUUUGCUUCUGGAGGAACACCCUACAACAGGUAAUUUAAAAAUUUAAAAAUAAUAUAAAAGGGGAGCUAAAUACCUGAAAACUUAAGCAAAAUGAAGCAAAAAAAAAAAAAAAAAGGAAACAAAUUCAUUGCAAGAGAUGGAAAUUACAUUUUAAAGGCUGAAAAUAAUAAAGAAAUUCACUAAACAACAGGCCCUAUUGUCCUGGCUCCUUCUGAAAGAUUAUUGAAAGGAAACUGGGAAGUGGUUUGGGGAAUAGCAGAUUCUGGGAUAUGGUGGGAAGUUCACAGGUUGGCACCGGCUGGAACAGCUGAGUUUUGAAGGCACUCUGC
ensembl:lncRNA